rnacentral:rRNA from 1 species
AUUUUAAAUUUUGCAUAUCCAAUAAGCGGAGGAAAAGAAACCAACAGGGAUUGCCCUAGUAACGGCGAGUGAAGCGGCAACAGCUCAAAUUUGAAAGCUGGCCUUCGGGUCCGCAUUGUAAUUUGUAGAGGAUGCUUUGGGUGAAACGCCAGUCUAAGUUCCUUGGAACAGGACGUCAUAGAGGGUGAGAAUCCCGUAUGUGACUGGAAAUGUUAACCUAUGUAAAGCUCCUUCGACGAGUCGAGUUGUUUGGGAAUGCAGCUCUAAAUGGGAGGUAAAUUUCUUCUAAAGCUAAAUAUUGGCGAGAGACCGAUAGCGCACAAGUAGAGUGAUCGAAAGAUGAAAAGCACUUUGGAAAGAGAGUUAAAAAGCACGUGAAAUUGUUGAAAGGGAAGCGCUUGCAAUCAGACUUGUUUAAACUGUUCGGCCGGUCUUCUGACCGGUUUACUCAGUUUGGACAGGCCAGCAUCAGUUUCGGCGGCCGGAUAAAGGCUCUGGGAAUGUGGCCUUCACUUCGGUGAAGGUGUUAUAGCCCAGGGUGUAAUACGGCCAGCCGGGACUGAGGUCCGCGCUCGGCUAGGAUGCUGCGUAAAUAAGAGG